UUUCCGUAGGUGAACCUGCGGAAGGAUCAUUAUUGCAUAACCGAGGUGCGAGGGCUGUCGCUGACCCGAAAGGUCGUGCACGCCCGAGUACCCUCACACACAUCCAUCUCACCCCUAUGUGCACCACCGCGUGGGUCCCCCUUUGGCUUGUUCGGAGGGGGGCUUACGUUUUCACACAAACUUUGUAUGCAGUGUAGAAUGUAUUUUUUGUUUUUGCGAUCACGCAAUCAAUACAACUUUCAACAACGGAUCUCUUGGCUCUC
rnacentral:misc_RNA from 1 species